UACGGAGGGUGCAAGCGUUAAUCGGAAUUACUGGGCGUAAAGCGUGCGCAGGCGGUUUGUUAAGUCUGCUGUGAAAUCCCCGAGCUCAACUUGGGAAUUGCAGUGGAUACUGGCAGGCUGGGGUAUGGUAGAGGAAGGUGGAAUUCCCGGUGUAGCAGUGAAAUGCGUAGAGAUCGGGAGGAACACCAGUGGCGAAGGCGGCCUUCUGGACCAAUACUGACGCUCAUGCACGAAAGCGUGGGGAGCAAACAGG
rnacentral:rRNA from 1 species